AGUGUUUCCUACUUUAUGGAGG
rnacentral:miRNA from 14 species